AGAGUUUGAUCCUGGCUCAGGAUGAACGCUGGCGACGUGGAUAAGGCAUGCAAGUCGAGUGGGUUUAGGCCCACGGCAGACGAGGUAGUAACACGUAGGAAUGUACCCCAAAAUCGGGCAUAACCCGCCGAAAGGCGGAAUAAUUCUCGAUGGUCUCUAAGGAGUAAAGGCGUAAGCCGUUUUGGGAACAGCCUGCGAAAUAUCAGCUAGUUGGUAGUGUAAUGGACUACCAAGGCUAUGACGUUUAGGGGAGGUGAGAGCCUGACCCCCACCGAUGGAACUGAGAUACGGUCCAUACACCUACGGGUGGCCGCAGUCAAGAACCUUCCACAAUGGGCGAAAGCCUGAUGGAGCGACGUCGCGUGAUGGAUGAAGCACUUCGGUGCGUAAACAUCUUUUGUAGGGGAAGAAGAUCCGCAAGGAUUAUGACUGUACCCUAAGAAUAAGGGGUUGCUAAACUCGUGCCAGCAGCAGCGGUAAUACGAGUGCCCCGAGCGUUAUCCGGAAUUAUUGGGCGUAAAGGGUGUGUAGGUGGUCUGGUUAGUCUAUUGCUAAAACUCCCGGCUUAACCGGGAACAUGCAGUGGAAACGGCUAGACUAGAGAGGGUGAGAGGUAUGUGGAACUCAUGGUGUAGGGGUGAAAUCCGUUGAUAUCAUGGGGAACGCCGAAGGUGAAGACAGCAUACUAGCGCCUAUCUGACACUGAAACACGAAAGCGUGGGGAUCGAAAAGGAUUAGAUACCCUUGUAGUCCACGCCCUAAACGAUGAUCACUAGCUUUUCGGAGUAUCGACCCUCUGAGAGGCGAAGCUAACGCGUUAAGUGAUCCGCCUGGGAAGUACGAUCGCAAGAUUAAAACUCAAAGGAAUAGACGGGGACUUGCACAAGCGGUGGAUCAUGCGGUUUAAUUCGAUGAUAAACGAAAAACCUCACCCGGGUUUGAAACCCAAACGAAUUUUCGAGGAAACUUGAAAAGUCUCACAAGGACGGUUGGGCAGGUGAUGCAUGGUUGUCGUCAGUUCGUGGUUUGAGCUGUUCCCUUAAGUGGGACAACGA
rnacentral:rRNA from 1 species